AGGAUGAAGCACGGUGCGGUGCGUCAGGCAGGCAGUGCACUGCUAGCUGGCUGUUAGACUUUCAUCCCUACAGUUGCUAGCUGCACUACCCCCCUGCUACACCCAGAAGCAAGC
rnacentral:pre_miRNA from 1 species